rnacentral:rRNA from 1 species
AAAUUGAAGAGUUUGAUCAUGGCUCAGAUUGAACGCUGGCGGCAGGCCUAACACAUGCAAGUCGAACGGUAACAGGAAACAGCUUGCUGUUUCGCUGACGAGUGGCGGACGGGUGAGUAAUGUCUGGGAAACUGCCUGAUGGAGGGGGAUAACUACUGGAAACGGUAGCUAAUACCGCAUAAUGUCGCAAGACUAAAGAGGGGGACCUUCGGGCCUCUUG